UGCAAGACCGAGUUAAGCUCAUCUGUUUCUAGUGUAUAGACAGCUUGGUGAUUAUUUCUGAUGAUGAGAUUCCCGAAACAACCACUCAGGACCUUUUGAAUCUGAGUUCCACACGUAAGUCAAAACAUAAAAUUGUGAAUGUUUCAUGCUGUAAAAGUCCUUCAUACGUGAAUAUAACAUUGUUUGUAUCAUAUUCAGAAUUUGAGGGAAACGUGUCUAACAGUGAUUACGACGGAGAUAUUUCAGAUACGAGUGCUACAAUAGAAGACCAAGAGGAAAUCAUCUCGGAAACCGACAUUCAACAAGACAUCGAACUACAACAGAUCUGCGCAGUGUGGCGUGAAUUCUUCGAAGCAAAGACUGAUUUAUUGGAAAACUUUGGACAGAUUGAUUAUACACUUGAAUCUGGUCGAGGUACAGAUUUUAUCCCAUUACUGUACAGCACGCUUGAAAAUGUGAAUAGAUGUCUCUCAGUGAGCAUAAAGUUGAUUAGAAAAUUGUAUGAUAGAUAUGGCGCAGAAACGACUGAAAUGCAGUUCGGAUAUGGAGAUUAAAAAAAAGAGAACCGAAAAUUCUCCAUUAUCGCAUGAUUUCUUUUAUGACGGAAACCAGAGAUUUUCAAAUGAUUCGCACACACCCCUGAACCCAUAUUUAACUGAAGCGAUCAACAGGCUGAACGAAAG
ensembl:lncRNA